rnacentral:lncRNA from 1 species
GCACGCGCGGGGCAGGCCCUCGGGAAGGGGCUGUUAAAGGGCCAGCGCUGAUCUCGCUCUUCUAUCGCGAUAGUCGCGGAGCUGCGACUGGACGCCCCGCGCGGAGAGGGAAUUCCCCGGGACCCCCGACCCCUACCCGCACCGCAGUGGCUUCUCGGAUAGGAAACUUUCCUCCUUUGGCCUGAUGGAAUCGACCUGGGUGGAACAGACGGCUGUUGGUAUUGAAAUCCCUUCCGAAUCACGUACUGGUGGGUAGUGAGGAAAGGAGGGGAGAAACUCGUUCAAAACUGGGGCUCGGCUGCUCCUGCUUGUCGUAUUUAUCCUCAGUGUCCAAGGAGGACCAGCCAGACUUGUCUUUGACUAACUGUUGAGGAACCAGAAACUCCUCUGGGAGAUUGACCCAAGGGACAAUAAGGAAAGGGGGGCUGAUCAGGGGUGCCUGACUCGCCCAAUAGGGAGAGCAUGCGACUCUUGAUCUUGGGCUUGAUAAGUUCAAGCCCCUGGUAGGACACAGCUUACUUUAAAAAUGGGGGGGGGGGGGUGCCCCUGGGUGGCUCAGUCGGUGAAGCGUCUGCCUUCGACUGAGGUCAUAAUCCCGGGGUCCUGGAUUCAAGCCCCAACCCGGCUCCCUGCGCAGGGGGGAGCCUGCUUCUCUCUUUCCCUCUGCCUGCUGCUCUCCCUGCUUGUGCGCUCUCUCUCUGUCAAAUAAAUAAAUAAAAUCUUAAAAAAAAAAAAAAAAAAAAAAAAAAAAAAAAAAAAAAAAAAGGGAAGGGGGUUGUGGAAUGCUGAUCAACAGUAAAAAUCUGCCUGAAAUGUUCAGGAUCCCUUCACCCCUCAUCUGGCGUUUAGCCAGCUAAAAAGCAUCCUAGAUUAGUAGUAAUCCAGUCAGUUUGUCAAUUAUACAUCAGUAAAGCUGGAGGGAAAAAGUAAUUCAAUGCAUAGAAUACAUAGUUAUUGAAUACCAAUUAUGUGCCCUGCUUUGUUUUAGGCCCGAAGGCUACAUCAAUAGAGUUUUCAUGGAGCUUUACUUGUGAUGGGAGAGACAAAGAAAAUAGCAAAUGAGGUGGUGAUAAACGAUUCUGGGAAAAGUAAAACAGGGACAGGGGAGUGGAGGAGGGAGGCAAUUGUAUAUGCAUAAUGUGGUCAGGGAAAGCCUAGUUGAAAAAGUGACAGUUGUCAAAGACUUGGAGUAGGAGGAGGAGGGAGCCAUUAGGUGUGCUAGGCUCAGUAGAGUCAUAACCUAAGGUAAGGCCACACUAGUCACUAUGAUUCAAACUCAGGUCUUUCUGAGAACCAGGGUGAUCCUGUGCACUACAGUGUCUCCAAGUGUCAGCUAUGACCAGAUAGGGUUGACACCUUCUACUGAUGUUCCUUCCCUCUCCCCUUCUGAGCUUUUUAGCAUCCAAGAAAAUGAUUCUCCAACUUUAGUGCUCAUCAGAAUCCCUUGGGGAACUUGAUAAACAUUAGUUUCCUGGAUUCUACUGCCAGAGAUGCUAAUUCAAACAAAGAACCGCUCUUUGAAAAAUAGUAAUUAGAAGCACCUGGAUGGCUCAGUCAGCGAACCAUCUGCCUGCCUUCAGCUCAGGUCAUGAUCCCAAGGUCCUCGGAUCAAGCCCCAAAUCAGGCUCCCUGCUCAGCAACGAGUCUGCUUCUCCCUCUCCCCCUGCCUCUCGCCUUGGCUUGUGUUGUCUCUUGUUCACUUUCUCUCUCAAAUAAAUAAAUAAAAUCAUUUUUUAAAAAAAUACUAAUUAGGGCAGCCCGGGUGGCUCAGCGGUUUAGCGCCGCCUUCAGCCCAGGGCGUGAUCUUGGAGGCCCAAGAUCGAGUCCCAUGUCGGGCUCCCUGCAAAGAGCCUGCUUCUCCCUCUGCCUCUCUCUCUCUCUUUCUCUCUCUCUCUCUCUGUCUCUAAUAAAUAAUUAAAUAAAAUCUUUAAAAAAAUACUAAUUAAAGGAUCUAGAUCAAUAGUUUUUAUUUACUUUUUUUUUAAGAUUUUAUUUUUAAGUAAUCUCUACAGCCAACAUGGGGUUUGAACUUAGAAUCCUGAGAUCAAGAAUUGCAUGCUCAAAAAAAAAAGAACCUCAUGCUCUACCAACUAAAACAGCCAGGAACCCCUCAAAAGUCUUUGGUAUCUACCAUAACAGCAAGCUAACAACUGCUAUUAAAAUUUAAAUAUAAAAAAAA